GGUGAACGCUGGCGGCGUGCCUAAGACAUGCAAGUCGAGCGGGGCAGGUUUAUACCUGUUCAGCGGCGGACGGGUGAGUAACGCGUGGGUGACCUACCCGGAAGAGGCGGACAACCUGGGGAAACCCAGGCUAAUCCGCCAUGUGGUCCUGUCCUGUGGGGUAGGACUAAAGGGUGGAUAGCCCGCUUCCGGAUGGGCCCGCGUCCCAUCAGCUAGUUGGUGGGGUAAAGGCCCACCAAGGCGACGACGGGUAGCCGGUCUGAGAGGAUGGCCGGCCACAGGGGCACUGAGACACGGGCCCCACUCCCACGGGAGGCAGCAGUUAGGAAUCUUCCGCAAUGGACGGAAGUCUGACGGAGCGACGCCGCUUGGAGGAGGAAGCCCUUCGGGGUGUAAACUCCUGAACUGGGGACGAAAGCCCUGUGUAGGGGGAUGACGGGACCCAGGUAAUAGCGCCGGCCAACUCCGUG
rnacentral:rRNA from 1 species